UUUUGCUUUGAGGAGUUUUGCUCUGUGUACUUAUGGCUGAAAACAAGACCUUGCACAUAUUUACCACACAUGAGCCAAUAGGCAAAGGGAACCCACAACACAUUGGGAAAGGCACUGCAGAGAUACUGAGUGUCUGCUGCAUUCAGCAGCAAAACUCAAAUGUUUCAAAUCUGACGGGAGUGCAGAGAAGGACUGGGACACAUUUUGUGAGUCCCUGGACUUUCCUCGGCAUUGUCUACUUCCACUGUUAAAUCUCUGCAGUUAACUGCCCAUCAGCUGUGAUUAAAAGCAGAAAGCUGCAGCUGGCUCAGAUGCAGCCUGUCUGUGUCAUUCAGCUC
rnacentral:lncRNA from 12 species